AAAACAUUGCUUAAAUUUUUAUGAGCAACUAACCGAUGAAAAUGUUAAGAAAGCAAUUGUUUGCAGAAAAGAAAACAAUUCAGAAGUUAGACGCAUACAAAAAAAGUUACGAAGAUGUAAGAUGAAGUGAGACAUUAUAAUUCAAGUGUAGAUGGAAUUAAUAAAAAUGAAGUUGAAAGCUGGGAGGAAAGCAAUCUGAUGAUUUUAAAGAUAAAGUUGCAGUUUUGUGCUAGUUAAGCAAUCUGAAAGGGAAAAACAUUUAUAUAAAAGAGAAUUUCUGCUCUAAAACAACGCAAAUCAGAAAAGGUUUGAGGGAGAUAAUGAAAAUCGAAGAGCGGCUGGUAAGUUUGCAAAUAUAUAUGUUUGCAAAUGAUAAAUUGAUAAUUUGCGAUUGGGUAGCAAAGAAAAGCAAAAUUUUAUCAAAUUUAAAAAAAUAAAUUCUCGGAUAAAAAUGACAUUUUCAGUGGUAAUGACACCGACUUUAUAUACUAUUUUAGUCACAAAAUGUUAGAAAGUAAUUAUUUCUUCGUUUCUGAAUCUUUGCAACAUCUUAAACAAAAUAAAAACACUUUUUCAAUUUUAAAUAUCAAUAUUCAAAGUUUUACAGCUUUGUUGUAAAUGUAAAUCAACCAACGGUAGAAAUUGUUUACAGAGAGAUUGGUUGGUAUUACCUUUGAAGUUAUGUGUGCUGACAUCGCAUCGAAACUUGUUUUACUCCAGUUAAGCCAACCGCAACUUGAAGGUUUUUUUCUUUUCUUGUUCAAGUCUACUGCAAAAAGACCGACUAAACAGAAUUGAGAUUUUCCCAUUAGUGUCCUAGGAAGUUUUCUUUUUUUAUUGAGAUUAGGCGAUCAGGAUUGUUGGUGAAAAUAAGGUCAAGCGUAAUAAUUGGCAUUGCAAUUUAGUUUUUAUGAUAUGUUGGAAAUGUUACUAGCUGAGUUAGAUAGCAGUCUUUAUAAUACUCUUGGAAAUCGAUGUCACUGGGACUUUAGUCACUUACAUGAGUGGUUGUUCUUACACCACAACCAAAGUUGCAUGAUUUGUAACUGGUUUAGCUAAAAGUAAAAUCAUUAUACAAGAGCAUUGUCGCGCUGUUUUAAUAUUCUUAGGGUAUACAACCAAGAAGUAUUUAUUCGUUUUUAAAAUGAAUUUUGCGUCUCUGGUUGGCAAAACACUCAUACGACAUCUCCUUCCCCCCCCCCCCCCCCCA